GGGGAAUAUUGCACAAUGGGCGAAAGCCUGAUGCAGCAACGCCGCGUGAGUGAUGAAGGUUUUCGGAUCGUAAAGCUCUGUUGCCAGGGAAGAACGUCCUGUAGAGUAACUGCUACAGGAGUGACGGUACCUGAGAAGAAAGCCCCGGCUAACUACGUGCCAGCAGCCGCGGUAAUACGUAGGGGGCAAGCGUUGUCCGGAAUUAUUGGGCGUAAAGCGCGCGCAGGCGGCUGUUUAAGUCUGGUGUAUAAUCCUGGGGCUCAACUCCGGGUCGCACUGGAAACUGGACGGCUUGAGUGCAGAAGAGGAGAGUGGAAUUCCACGUGUAGCGGUGAAAUGCGUAGAGAUGUGGAGGAACACCAGUGGCGAAGGCGGCUCUCUGGUCUGAAACUGACGCUGAGGCGCGAAAGCGUGGGGAGCAAAC
rnacentral:rRNA from 1 species